CCUACGGGUGGCAGCAGUGGGGAAUAUUGGACAAUGGGCGAAAGCCUGAUCCAGCCAUGCCGCGUGUGUGAAGAAGGCCUUCGGGUUGUAAAGCACUUUCAGUGGGGAAGAAAGCCUUGGGGCUAAUACCCUCGAGGAAGGACAUCACCCACAGAAGAAGCACCGGCUAACUCCGUGCCAGCAGCCGCGGUAAUACGGAGGGUGCGAGCGUUAAUCGGAAUUACUGGGCGUAAAGCGCGCGUAGGCGGUCUGAUAAGCCGGUUGUGAAAGCCCCGGGCUCAACCUGGGAACGGCAUCCGGAACUGUCAGGCUAGAGUGCAGGAGAGGAAGGUAGAAUUCCCGGUGUAGCGGUGAAAUGCGUAGAGAUCGGGAGGAAUACCAGUGGCGAAGGCGGCCCUCUGGACUGACACUGACGCUGAGGUGCGAAAGCGUGGGUAGCAAACAGGAUUAGAUACCCCAGUAGUC
rnacentral:rRNA from 1 species